AUGGUGGACCGACGUGGUUCUGUGCCUCGCGGCAGGAAGCGGAGAGUCCUGGAGUCGCUGAUCGGCCUGCUGCAGCAGUUCCCCUACGACGACCCCGCCUACGAGAGGCUCCAGGAGGACCUGGACAGGAUCCGGGGCAAGUUCCGGCAGGUUUGUCCCUGCAGCUCCUCCCUGGGGCCCGGCCAGCGGGCGGCGGAGGGAGAGCGAGCAGGUGGCGGCCGGGCGCGAGUGGCGGGAUUCGAGGGCGAACGCGGCGUCUCAGCCUCCGCCUCUCCCUUUGUCUCCAGCUCUGUUCACUGCUCAGCGUCCAGCCGGACUUUAAAGUUCCUGGGGAGGGUUCCGGACUUUCAUUUUGAGGGUGACAGACCCACAAAGGCGGGACAUCAGGGAACAGAUGUUCACAUGCCGAGUGCUUCAACACGUGAUCCAAGGGAGGUGCGGCGGGCAGAGGAGCUGUCGCGUGUGAGCCCCGUCCUCCCACGGGCCCCGCGGGCCAGCUCUGCCCACCCGGUGCUGAAGGCGGCGAGGAGCCGGCUGCGGCUCUCAACCACCACGCGCGUCUGCAGCGGGAGAGCCGGGCGCGCCAGGAGCGCCGGGAACGGGCGCGGCGUGGCAUUUGGAGGACGAGGCUCGGGCUCCGUCCUCCCGACUGUGACCGGCGGUGGCCGGUGAGUGCUCCUCACCGCUCGUCUUCCCUCGGCACCGGCUCCUCCCGGCCAGGAUGACAGAGUGGUUAAUCUUUGUUGUCUGAAUUACCUGUGUUGACGAUGUGUUAGCUUUGUAAUUGGAGAAAAAAUAGAAUAUUUUAAAGCAAAAACUGUCUGGGACUUGUUUUUUUGAAACAAAGACAUUGAUUGGAAGGCAGAGCGGGAGAGGGAGGGAUGUCCCUGGUUCACUCCCAAACGGCUGCAAGAGCUGGGGCUGCGCCAGGCUGAAGCUCCAUCCGGGUCUCCCACGUGGGCGCAGGGAUCCACGCACUCAGGCCAUCUCCCGCUGCUUUCCCAGGUGCAUUAGCGGGGAGCUGGAUUGGAAGAGGAGCAGCCGGGACUCGAACCAGCACUUGUACGGGACGCUGGUGCCGCAGGCGGGGGCUUAACCUGCUGUGCCGCAGCGCCGGCCCCGUCAGUCACCUCCUUAAAGGCGUGUGUCCAACUGCGUCGCGUUCUGAGAUGUGCGGCAUCCGUGCAUGGGUGGCGCAGGGACGCGGACGCCGCGGCCUGAGGCAGCCGCCCUGGCUGUGCUGGACCUUGGCUGUUGACCCAGGACGUGAGCAGGUGGGCACAGCUGAGGCUAACCCUCCACCAAAGCCUGCCUUGGAGUCCCCCUCCCCCCACCCGGGGCAGUUGCUGUCCUGCAGCAAGGCCGUGUCCACCUGCUGGGACACACGGACACGGUUUGGAGACAGCAGUGUCGUUAACAAGCGAGUUCGUCCCAGUCCUUAACACGGAGGGGGGUGUGGCUCCCUGAGGGCAGCCGGGCAGGGUGCUGGGCGCUGCCCGGGACACAGGCCUCCUGCAGUGGGGGAGCAGCUGCCGCGGGCGACGGGGCCCAGCUGGGGCUUGGGGUCUGUGUCCAGAAGGGUCGCUCCUUGCUUCAGACCUGUGCCGGAACUUUCUUCACGGCUGAGACUCCGCGGCUGGCUUCGAGGGCCCGGCCAGUCUCUUGCAGCCCAGUGACACCAUGGUGGCCAUGUCUCCCCCACGUGCCGUCCCAGGCCAGCCGGGCCUUGGCUCGCCUCAGGGUUCCUGCCUGGCGGCGUGGCCAGACGGCUCCUGGUUCCCAUGGAAUCCCUGUGUCCGGUAAAUCUUGGAGUGGGCACUGCUCGUGGGCCUGGGCCUGGACGUGAGAGCCCGGGCGGGCGCCUCACGGAUUCCACUGUGGGGUCUGAUCUCUGGUGGCCGUGGCGUGGCCGUGGCUGAGGCCGAGGCCGUAUCAGAAGCUGGGGUUUGGCACGUGUGAGGAAGACGUGAGGUGAGGUGUAGCUGUGGUGGCCCAGGAGGAGGCCGUGUGACAGAGGCAGGGACUGGGGUGCCCGGGCACCUCCAGGAGCUGGGGAGGGCAGAGCCUGUGGGGACCCCUGUUCCACUUCAGCCUCCAGGAGCCCCUUGUGUGACAGCUGCGUGGUGUGUGACGGUUUGUUAGGGAAGCCCCAGGGAGUGAUGGGAGACCCUCCCUCCCUGUGAGCCCAGAGCCGUCCAGCUAACGAGAGGUGGUGGGGGCGCCUACACCCCAGGAAGGCGCUGGCUUCUCAAGAUGUUAGCACAGUCCUCGGCGCCCACCCCUGCAGACCACCACCUCCCGGGGCUUGGCUGACGCCCUGCAGCGAGCCAACACGGUGAGCACCCGGGAGGCUGGCCUGAGCCUGUCCCCGGGCCUCAGCCCCGUCUCAGGCCUGGGGCGAUGGCCGUGGUCAGGCAGCUUUUCUAAGUCUGGUCACACGUGGGCUCCGUGACACGGAGUGCCAGGUUGGUCACACGUGUGCUCCAUGACAUGGAGGGACCUGGCUAGCAGCGUCGGUUCCCUUGAGGUAGAGCGGUUCCACACACGUGUGAGCUGGUUCCGUGCCAGGCGCUGUGGACCAGACACAAGUCUCCCCAUGGAGUGCCCAGCUAAGCAGGGCCAGUGAAGGCUCUGGGACUGCGGGGCCGGUGCUGUGGGGUAGUGGGUAAAGCCGGCAUCCUGAGCGCCGUCAUCCCAUGUGGGUGCUGGUUUGAGUCCCGGCUGCUCCACUUCCGCUCCAGCUCCCUGCUAAUGCGCCUGGGAGAGCAGUGAGGACGGCCCAAGUGCUGGGGCCCUGCACCCACAUGGGAGACCCGGAUGGAGCUCCUGGCUUCAGCCUGGCCAGCCCUGGUCGUUGCGGCCAUUUGGGGGAGUGAACCAGGAAGACCUCUCUCUCUCCUCUGUCUCUCCCUCUCUCACUGUAACGCUGACUUUCAAAUAAAUAAAUCAGUCUUAAACA
rnacentral:lncRNA from 1 species